CCUACGGGAGGCAGCAGUGAGGAAUAUUGGUCAAUGGGCGGGAGCCUGAACCAGCCAAGUCGCGUGAGGGAAGACGGUCCUAUGGAUUGUAAACCUCUUUAGGCGGGGAGCAAUGCCGGGCACGUGUGCCCGGAGGGAGAGUACCCGCAGAAUAAGCAUCGGCUAACUCCGUGCCAGCAGCCGCGGUAAUACGGAGGAUGCGAGCGUUAUCCGGAUUGAUUGGGUUUAAAGGGUGCGUAGGCGGAUUUUUAAGUCAGCGGUAAAAUGUCCGGGCUCAACCCGGGCCGGCCGUUGAAACUGGGGAUCUUGAGUGGGCGAGAAGUAUGCGGAAUGCGUGGUGUAGCGGUGAAAUGCAUAGAUAUCACGCAGAACUCCGAUUGCGAAGGCAGCAUACCGGCGUCCGACUGACGCUGAGGCACGAAAGCGUGGGGAUCGAACAGGAUUAGAUACCCCAGUAGUC
rnacentral:rRNA from 1 species